UACGUAUGGUGCAAGCGUUAUCCGGAUUUACUGGGUGUAAAGGGAGCGCAGGCGGCGCGGCAAGUCCGAUGUGAAAACCCCCGGCUCAACCGGGGGACUGCAUUGGAAACUACCGGGCUGGAGUGCCGGAGAGGUAGGCGGAAUUCCUGGUGUAGCGGUGAAAUGCGUAGAUAUCAGGAGGAACCCCAGUGGCGAAGGCGGCCUACUGGACGGUGACUGACGCUGAGGCUCGAAAGCGUGGGGAGCAAACAGG
rnacentral:rRNA from 1 species